CCCUUAGAUGUUCUGGGCCGCACGCGCGCUACACUGUUCGACGCAGCGAGUCUUAACCUUGACCGAAAGGUUUGGGUAAUCUUCAGCAAAGUCGAACGUGAUGGGGACCGAUCAUUGCAAUUAUUGAUCGUGAACGAGGAAUUCCUAGUAAGUGCAAGUCAUCAGCUUGCGCUGAUUACGUCCCUGCCCUUUGUACACACCGCCCGUCGCUACUACCGAUUGAAUGGUUUAGUGAGAUCUCUGGAUUGACGCUGGCUAGGGGGCGACCCUUGGCCAGACUGCUCGAGAAACUGCUCAAACUUGAUCAUUUAGAGGAAGUAAAAGUCGUAACA
rnacentral:rRNA from 1 species